UACGGGGGGAGCAAGCGUUGUUCGGAUUUACUGGGCGUAAAGGGCGCGUAGGCGGCCACCGCAAGUCACUUGUGAAAUCUCCAGGCUUAACCCGGAAAGGUCAACUGAUACUGCGGGGCUAGAGUGCAGAAGGGGCAACUGGAAUUCUCGGUGUAGCGGUGAAAUGCGUAGAUAUCGAGAGGAACACCUGCGGCGAAGGCGGGUUGCUGGGCUGACACUGACGCUGAGGCGCGAAAGCUAGGGGAGCGAACGGG
rnacentral:rRNA from 1 species